AUGAACAUCGCCCUCCUGACACAAUGGCUGUGGCGGAUCACCAGCGGCGAGGGUGGUCUCUGGCUGCAGAUUAUCCGGAAUAAAUAUCUUCGCGGCCAACCUCUUGCUUUCUGCCAGCAGGUAGGUGGUUCCCAGUUCUGGCAAUCUAUCAUCCAGUCGCUUCCUGUCCUCCGGAUUGGGACCUCCAUCGCUGUGGGAACGGGAUCAAAUACGCUAUUCUGGUUCGAUAGGUGGGCGGGUGAAUCCCCCUUCGCGGCCCGCUUCCUAGACUUGUUCACCAUCGCCGUGGACCCUCGGGUAUCCGUCGAGAUGGCCCUUAUUGACUUAGGGCGUCUUGCGUUCAGGCGGCCCUUUGGGCCCCUGGAAUUGGGUGCUUGGCACGAGCUCUUGGACAAUGUUGCUCUACACGAGCCGGACCUCGCGUGGCCUCGGGACCUCAUGUCCUGGCGCUUAGAGCCUUCGGGCUCCUUCUCCACCAAAUCCCUUUACCGGGCCAUCAUCCCCACUACCGCCCCGGAGCCACUUAUAGCCCUCAGCGGAACCCCAUACUACUUGUCCUGUUUCGUUUUUUGUGUGUGUGUGGGUGUGAACCUUAUUGUAUCCGUUGGCUGUGGUGGUGGUUUGCUUUAUUUAUAA
rnacentral:rRNA from 1 species